rnacentral:rRNA from 1 species
AGUGAACGCUGGCGGCAGGCCUAACACAUGCAAGUCGAACGGCAGCACAGUAAGAGCUUGCUCUUACGGGUGGCGAGUGGCGGACGGGUGAGGAAUACAUCGGAAUCUACUUUUUCGUGGGGGAUAACGUAGGGAAACUUACGCUAAUACCGCAUACGACCUACGGUUGAAAGCAGGGGAUCUUCGGACCUUGCGCGAUUGAAUGAGCCGAUGUCGGAUUAGCUAGUUGGCGGGGUAAAGGCCCACCAAGGCGACGAUCCGUAGCUGGUCUGAGAGGAUGAUCAGCCACACUAGAACUGAGACACGGUCCAGACUCCUACGGGAGGCAGCAGUGGGGAAUAUUGGACAAAGGGCGCAAGCCUGAUCCAGCCAUACCGCGUGGGUGAAGAAGGCCUUCGGGUUGGAAAGCCCUUUUGUUGGGAAAGAAAAGCAGCAGGUUAAUACCCCGCUGUUCUGACGGUACCCAAAGAAUAAGCACCGGCUAACUUCGUG